AUGGAAGUGUUUCAUGAUCUGUGCUCAAAGGAUCCUCAAUUCACGUAUCGAGUUCAGGCGGACAAAGAGGGCAGGAUCAGCAACUUGAUGUGGGCUACAGGGAACAGUAGGCUCCAGUACAACUUCUUUGGGGAUGUCAUUACAUUUGACACAACCUAUAGGACCAACCUGUAUGACAUGCCAUUUGGGUUAUUUGUUGGAGUAAAAACCAUUUCCAGAGUAUCAUACUAG
rnacentral:rRNA from 1 species